rnacentral:snRNA from 1 species
AUACUCACGUGGCAGGGGAGAUACCAUGAUCGCAAAGGUAGUUUUUCUGGGGUGAGGUUUAUCCAUUGUACUCUGGAUGUGCUGACCCGUGCGAUUUCCCCAAAUGUGGAAAACUUGACUGCACAAUUUGUGGUGGUGGGGAACUGUGUUCACACUUUCUUC